rnacentral:lncRNA from 1 species
AUUUAAUUCUUCCAAUUUUGAAAACUUGAAUGGACUUGGAUAUCCAUUUUACAAAUACAAGAUUGUAUGUUCUCUUGCAGAGAAGUACUGAAUGUUAUUUCUCUGCUUCUGAUCAGAUCAUACACAUGUUGUAGGAAAGUGAAUCGGAGACAAGUUGAUGAAAAAGACUUUCAUUUGAAUGAGAGAUCAAUCACAGAGACUGAAAGUGACAGCCCUACCACAUUUGUUUGUGGACUUUGGAGACAGGCAGAAAGGAUAAGCAAUUGACAAGGAGGUAAGGAAAUCCGUAUCUGGGUUUGAUUCGGUUGUCUUGCAAGUGGAGUUGUAAACAAAUGUGGAAUUUAAAGGGGGAUUACAGUGUUUUGAUGUAUUCCAUUCUGCAUGUUCAAUAUCACUAUUUUCAUUCCAAGAGGGUAUAAUGUAU